rnacentral:rRNA from 1 species
UCGCAGCCUGAUGGAGCACACCGCGUGAGUGAAGAAGGGUUUCGGCUCGUAAAGCUCUGUUGUUAAAGAAGAACACGUAUGAGAGUAACUGUUCAUACGUUGACGGUAUUUAACCAGAAAGUCACGGCUAACUACGUGCCAGCAGCCGCGGUAAUACGUAGGUGGCAAGCGUUAUCCGGAUUUAUUGGGCGUAAAGAGAGUGCAGGCGGUUUUCUAAGUCUGAUGUGAAAGCCUUCGGCUUAACCGGAGAAGUGCAUCGGAAACUGGAUAACUUGAGUGCAGAAGAGGGUAGUGGAACUCCAUGUGUAGCGGUGGAAUGCGUAGAUAUAUGGAAGAACACCAGUGGCGAAGGCGGCUACCUGGUCUGCAACUGACGCUGAGACUCGAAAGCAUGGGUAGCGAACAGGAUUAGAUACC